GAUGAACGCUGGCGGCGUGCUUAACACAUGCAAGUCGAACGGUGAAGCAGGAGCUUGCUCCUGUGGAUCAGUGGCGAACGGGUGAGUAACACGUGAGCAAUCUGCCCUGGACUCUGGGAUAAGCGUUGGAAACGACGUCUAAUACCGGAUACGAGGCGUGGGGGCAUCCCCAACGCCUGGAAAGAACUUCGGUCCAGGAUGAACUCGCGGCCUAUCAGCUUGUUGGUGAGGUAACGGCUCACCAAGGCGACGACGGGUAGCCGGCCUGAGAGGGUGACCGGCCACACUGGGACUGAGACACGGCCCAGACUCCUACGGGAGGCAGCAGUGGGGAAUAUUGCACAAUGGGCGCAAGCCUGAUGCAGCAACGCCGCGUGAGGGACGACGGCCUUCGGGUUGUAAACCUCUUUUAGCAGGGAAGAAGCGAAAGUGACGGUACCUGCAGAAAAAGCACCGGCUAACUACGUGCCAGCAGCCGCGGUAACAC
rnacentral:rRNA from 1 species